rnacentral:rRNA from 1 species
UACGAAGGGGGCUAGCGUUGCUCGGAAUCACUGGGCGUAAAGAGCUCGUAGGCGGCUCGGUAAGUCGGGUGUGAAACCUCCAGGCUCAACCUGGAGACGCCACCCGAUACUGCUGUGGCUAGAGUCCGGUAGGGGAGCGUGGAAUUCCUGGUGUAGCGGUGAAAUGCGCAGAUAUCAGGAGGAACACCAGCGGCGAAGGCGGCGCUCUGGGCCGGAACUGACGCUGAGGAGCGAAAGCGUGGGUAGCAAACAGG